rfam:Paenibacillus bovis strain BD3526, complete genome.
AGCACCUUUAAUUCAGUCCCGUGAGACUGGCAAGGUAACGUGAAUGAUGUUCACUGUAAGUACACCCUCUGAUGGAGCGGUGAUGUUACAGUGCGUCUGAGUAUGACAGUCAUGACUGCGGUCGAUGACUCGAGACUCCUUGCCGUUUUGGGGCAGGGAGUCUUUUUUU